rnacentral:rRNA from 1 species
AGAGUUUGAUCCUGGCUCAGGAUGAACGCUGGCGGUAUGCUUAACACAUGCAAGUCGAACGGAACCUUUCGGGGUUUAGUGGCGGACGGGUGAGUAACGCGUGAGAAUCUGCCCAUAGGUUGGGGACAACCACUGGAAACGGUGGCUAAUACCGAAUAAGCCGGAAGGUGAAAGAGAAAUUGCCUAAGGAAGAGCUCGCGUCUGAUUAGCUAGUUGGUGGGGUAAAGGCCUACCAAGGCACCGAUCAGUAACUGGUCUGAGAGGAUGGCCAGUCACACUGGGACUGAGACACGGCCCAGACUCCUACGGGAGGCAGCAGUGGGGAAUUUUCCGCAAUGGGCGAAAGCCUGACGGAGCAAUACCGCGUGGGGGAGGAAGGCUCUUGGGUCGUAAACCUCUUUUCUCAGGGAAGAAAAAAAUGACGGUACCUGAGGAAUCAGCAUCGGCUAACUCCGUGCCAGCAGCCGCGGUAAUACGGAGGAUGCAAGCGUUAUCCGGAAUGAUUGGGCGUAAAGCGUCCGCCAGGUGGCAGUACAAGUCUGCUGUCAAAGGUCAAGGCUUAACUUUGGACAGGCAGUGGAAACUGUACAGCUAGAGUAUGGUGGGGGCAGAGGGAAUUCCCAGUGUAGCGGUGAAAUGCGUAGAGAUUGGGAAGAACACCAGUGGCGAAAGCGCUCUGUAGGCCAAAACUGACACUCA